GGACGUGCGGCUGCUUACCAUGCAAGUCGAACGAUGAUGCCCAGCUUGCUGGGCGGAUUAGUGGCGAACGGGUGAGUAAUACGUGAGUAACCUGCCCUUGACUCUGGGAUAAGCCUGGGAAACUGGGUCUAAUACUGGAUACUACCUCUUACCGCAUGGUGGGUGGUGGAAAGGGUUUUACUGGUUUUGGAUGGGCUCACGGCCUAUCAGCUUGUUGGUGGGGUAAUGGCUCACCAAGGCGACGACGGGUAGCCGGCCUGAGAGGGUGACCGGCCACACUGGGACUGAGACACGGCCCAGACUCCUACGGGAGGCAGCAGUGGGGAAUAUUGCACAAUGGGCGGAAGCCUGAUGCAGCGACGCCGCGUGAGGGAUGACGGCCUUCGGGUUGUAAACCUCUUUCAGUAGGGAAGAAGCGAGAGUGACGGUACCUGCAGAAGAAGCGCCGGCUAACUACGUGCCAGCAGCCGCGGUAAUACGUAGGGCGCAAGCGUUGUCCGGAAUUAUUGGGCGUAAAGAGCUCGUAGGCGGUUUGUCGCGUCUGCUGUGAAAGCCCGGGGCUCAACCCCGGGUCUGCAGUGGGUACGGGCAGACUAGAGUGCAGUAGGGGAGACUGGAAUUCCUGGUGUAGCGGUGAAAUGCGCAGAUAUCAGGAGGAACACCGAUGGCGAAGGCAGGUCUCUGGGCUGUUACUGACGCUGAGGAGCGAAAGCAUGGGGAGCGAACAGGAUUAGAUACCCUGGUAGUCCAUGCCGUAAACGUUGGGCACUAGGUGUGGGGGACAUUCCACGUUUUCCGCGCCGUAGCUAACGCAUUAAGUGCCCCGCCUGGGGAGUACGGCCGCAAGGCUAAAACUCAAAGGAAUUGACGGGGGCCCGCACAAGCGGCGGAGCAUGCGGAUUAAUUCGAUGCAACGCGAAGAACCUUACCAAGGCUUGACAUUCACCGGACCGCCCCAGAGAUGGGGUUUCCCUUCGGGGCUGGUGGACAGGUGGUGCAUGGUUGUCGUCAGCUCGUGUCGUGAGAUGUUGGGUUAAGUCCCGCAACGAGCGCAACCCUCGUUCUAUGUUGCCAGCACGUGAUGGUGGGGACUCAUAGGAGACUGCCGGGGUCAACUCGGAGGAAGGUGGGGAUGACGUCAAAUCAUCAUGCCCCUUAUGUCUUGGGCUUCACGCAUGCUACAAUGGCCGGUACAAAGGGUUGCGAUACUGUGAGGUGGAGCUAAUCCCAAAAAGCCGGUCUCAGUUCGGAUUGAGGUCUGCAACUCGACCUCAUGAAGUCGGAGUCGCUAGUAAUCGCAGAUCAGCAACGCUGCGGUGAAUACGUUCCCGGGCCUUGUACACACCGCCCGUCAAGUCACGAAAGUUGGUAACACCCGAAGCCGGUGGCCUAACCCCUUGUGGGAGGGAGCCGUCGAAGGUGACGUCGU
rnacentral:rRNA from 1 species